GUCGGAGCUCCCACCCCGGGCGACGCCCCUCGCCCCACCGAUGGAGUCACCGGACUGCGCGGAGCUCAGCACGUACCUGCCUCGGCGCCACGUCCCCGCGCCCUCCGACGCCGGGGCGACCCGAGCGAGUGGCACGGGCCGGGCCGCUCCGGUCCCGCCUCGGGGACCUGGACUUGCACUUGCAGAGACACUGCGUAGGGGGGUCCUUCUUUCUUUCUCGCCCCAGGGCGCCUCCCGGGCGCGUCGCGGUCUCUGUCUUCCCGCUGGAGGAGGCGCUCCGCCCCCGCAGCUUUUCCUGGCGCCUCGGACCUGGCGCGGUGCGCCCCGCCCCGCGCUCGACUCCGCCCCGGGGUCACUCUCCUGCCUCCGCGCCGAGGCAGAGGAUGGACGCUCAGCUCCUGCACCCGGUGCGCCCAGGGCGCGAGGCGCACGGUGCUCUGACCGAGUUGGCGCGGAUCCCCGGUCCGCGGGGUUGGCUCUUCGCUGGGGUUUCUGUGCCCUCGCACCCGGGUGUGAACGGGACCGCUGAAGCCGGGUUUAGAUGGUGCGAUUCCGAGGAACUGACAAGGCCCUCUGCGCCCCGCGGUGGCGCCUCAUGACGGGAGCCCAGCGUCCAGUCGUCGGCAGGAGCUCAGUGCCAGCGUCCGUUCCCGCUACAAGAUGCAAAUAUAUUUGGAUGAUAAAUUCCUAGAAGUGAUAUUGCUGGAUCAAAGCGUAAAAAGCAUUUGUAAUUUCGGUAGAUAUUGCCACAUUGAACUCUGCAGGGGUCUCAUCAUGUUGCACUUUCCCGGUGAAGGCCCUGUAUCCAGGUGCUCACAUGCUGUCUCUACCUGAGCUCAGGAAAGGACACAACGCUUCCUCGGGCAGCACUUACCACUCUAAGGGGGAGUCAUUUUGCAAUUGGACUGGUUUAGACAAAAGCCUGACAACUCCCAGAACUGGGAAAGAUUCGCCUCAAGCUAACAUCUGUUGCCACUCUUCCUCUUUUUUUUUUCCCCUCCCUAAAGCCCCAGCGCAUGGUUGUAUAUCCUAGUUGUAAGUCCUCUAGUUCUUCUAUGUGAGCUGCCACCACAGCAUGGCAACUGACAGACUGGUGGUGUGGUUCUGCGACCUGGAAAUAAACCCAGGCUGCCGAAGUGGUGAGAGCACCGAACUUGAACCACUAGGCCAUCAGGGCUGGCUCACCUUUUUACUUUCUGUGUCUAUGAUUUUGACUAGAGUCUAUCAUCUUUUCAUCUACUCCGAAUGCCAAAGCAAUACCUUCACUAUGCCUGAUGGUCGCUCACAUACGUUACCCCAGUUAGGAAUUUUUCCCCCUAAGCUUUUUUAGCCUUAUUUUAAAAACCAUUAUUAAUGAAAAUGGCACACGAAGCCAGGCUGGCCCUCCAAGAAGUCAAUGUUUUGUAAUAGAAAGCUGGUUAUAAUCCAGAUCUUUAUACAUGUGAAAAAAAUCUUGGACAGAGAAGCUAUACCGUGUUAGCAGUGAUUAUCUCUAGGUGGAGAAUUACGAAUGAAUUUUUAACUUGUCUAUUUUUAAAUUGAUGGACAGAAGACAUGGAUUGUCUAACAAAGAAUACACAUGUACAAAACAAAAACAAAAAUUAUCCAGAUAUUUGGUACCAUGUAAACAGCAAUUUUUUUUGAUUCUGUCAAAGUUUUUGAAAGGCUAAUUGGGGAAUGAAUUAAACCAAUCAGAUAGUUUUGCACAAAUGUUUUCUAAUAGCCAAACAACUGGUUAAGAACCAUUUGGUCAAAUAGUUAACCAGUGUAAAGCCUUCCCUAGGGGAAAGUUAAACACAUUGGUGAACCUUCUUUACGUCCUGGGGCUCCAUCAUGAGAGAAACAUUAGGGGAGGUUAUACUGACUGGGCACAGGACUCAGAUGAUGCAUCUCAAAGGCACCUGGAGAGUAGAUUUCACAAGGCCUUUGCCUCAGUCAAGCAGCUCUGGUUGCAACCACCAGAAAUGCCCUGGAACCAGCCCUUGCUGAGGAGGGGAGUCUGGAGGAGAGAACCAGGCAUGUCUCGUGGAACCCAAGUCAGAACUCCUGGGGGCCAGAAUCACAGCUGGAGGGUCCUCACAGCGGCUUGUGUCUUCACAUUCUGGGGGCUCAGCCUGGUUUUCUGUCUGUUCUCUCUCCUUGUCCCAGUCCUAGCUCCCUCUGACGUCUCAGUUUUAAAG